GACGAACGCUGGCGGCGUGCUUAACACAUGCAAGUCGAACGGAAAGGCCCUGCUUUUGUGGGGUGCUCGAGUGGCGAACGGGUGAGUAACACGUGAGUAACCUGCCCUUGACUUUGGGAUAACUUCAGGAAACUGGGGCUAAUACCGGAUAGGAGCUCCUGCUGCAUGGUGGGGGUUGGAAAGUUUCGGCGGUUGGGGAUGGACUCGCGGCUUAUCAGCUUGUUGGUGGGGUAGUGGCUUACCAAGGCUUUGACGGGUAGCCGGCCCGAGAGGGUGACCGGCCAAAUUGGGACUGAGAUACGGCCCAGACUCCUACGGGAGGCAGCAGUGGGGAAUAUUGCACAAUGGGCGGAAGCCUGAUGCAGCAACGCCGCGUGCGGGAUGACGGCCUUCGGGUUGUAAACCGCUUUCGCCUGUGACGAAGCGUGAGUGACGGUAAUGGGUAAAGAAGCACCGGCUAACUACGUG
rnacentral:rRNA from 1 species